CGCCUAGUGGAUGAUGGCUUCGCUAAAAUCUGUAACAUGAUCAACGACAUCUCUGUGAAGGUUCGGGUAGAAGCUGCCUCUCUGCUGGGCUCUCUACAUCAAGUCAGUCCUCGAUUCCUGGAACAAACCCUGGAUAAAAAACUCAUGUCUAACAUGAGGAGGAAGCACAGUGCACAUGAACGUGCCAAGGAGCACUUCCAGUCUGGGGAAUGGUCGACUGGCCAGAAAUGGGCUGAUGAUGCACCCAAGGAAGAAAUAGACCUGG